CCUACGGGAGGCUGCAGUGGGGAAUAUUGGACAAUGGGCGAAAGCCUGAUCCAGCCAUGCCGCGUGUGUGAAGAAGGCCUUCGGGCUGUAAAGCACUUUCAGUGGGGAAGAAAGCCUUGGGGCUAAUACCCUCGAGGAAGGACAUCACCCACAGAAGAAGCACCGGCUAACUCCGUGCCAGCAGCCGCGUAAUACGGAGGGUGCGAGCGUUAAUCGGAAUUACUGGGCGUAAAGCGCGCGUAGGCGGUCUGAUAAGCCGGUUGUGAAAGCCCGGGCUCAACCUGGGAACGGCAUCCGGGGGUGGAGGGUAAGAGGGCAGGAGAGGAGGGGAGAGUGCCCGGGGGAGGGGGGAAGUGCGGGGGGAUGGGGAGGAAGACAAGGGGCGAGGGCGGUAUGUGGAACUAACAGUGACGCUGGGGGGCGAACGGUUGGGAAAAAAAGGGGGUUAGAUACCCUGGGGGUG
rnacentral:rRNA from 1 species